GAGUUUGAUCCUGGCUCAGAGUGAACGCUGGCGGCAGGCCUAACACAUGCAAGUCGAGCGGCAGCACGGCCAUAGCAAUAUGGUGGGUGGCGAGCGGCGGACGGGUGAGGAAUGCAUCGGAAUCUACCCUGUCGUGGGGGACAACGUAGGGAAACUUACGCUAAUACCGCAUACGACCUUCGGGUGAAAGCGGGGGACGUCGCAAGAGCCUCGCGCGAUUGGAUGAGCCGAUGUCCGAUUAGCUAGUUGGCGGGGUAAUGGCCCACCAAGGCGACGAUCGGUAGCUGGUCUGAGAGGACGACCAGCCACACUGGAACUGAGACACGGUCCAGACUCCUACGGGAGGCAGCAGUGGGGGAAUAUUGGACAAUGGGGGCAACCCUGAUCCAGCCAUGCCGCGUGGGUGAAGAAGGCCUUCGG
rnacentral:rRNA from 1 species